GAUGAACGCUGGCGGCGUGCCUAACACAUGCAAGUCGAACGAAGCACCUUUUGAGAUUCUUCGGAUGAUCGAUCGGUGACUGAGUGGCGGACGGGUGAGUAACGCGUGGGUAACCUGCCCUGUACAGGGGGAUAACAGCUGGAAACGGCUGCUAAUACCGCAUAAGCGCACGAGGAGACAUCUCCUUGUGUGAAAAACUCCGGUGGUACAGGAUGGGCCCGCGUCUGAUUAGCUGGUUGGCAGGGUAACGGCCUACCAAGGCAACGAUCAGUAGCCGGUCUGAGAGGAUGAACGGCCACAUUGGAACUGAGACACGGUCCAAACUCCUACGGGAGGCAGCAGUGGGGAAUAUUGCACAAUGGGGGAAACCCUGAUGCAGCAACGCCGCGUGAGUGAAGAAGUAUUUCGGUAUGUAAAGCUCUAUCAGCAGGGAAGAUAAUGACGGUACCUGACUAASAAGCUCCGGCUAAAUACGUGCCAGCAGCCGCGGUAAUACGUAUGGAGCAAGCGUUAUCCGGAUUUACUGGGUGUAAAGGGUGCGUAGGUGGCAGUGCAAGUCAGAUGUGAAAGGCCGGGGCUCAACCCCGGAGCUGCAUUUGAAACUGCAUAGCUAGAGUACAGGAGAGGCAGGCGGAAUUCCUAGUGUAGCGGUGAAAUGCGUAGAUAUUAGGAGGAACACCAGUGGCGAAGGCGGCCUGCUGGACUGUUACUGACACUGAGGCACGAAAGCGUGGGGAGCAAACAGG
rnacentral:rRNA from 1 species